rnacentral:rRNA from 1 species
GGGCGCAGCCUGAUCCAGCAAUGCCGCGUGAAGGCAGAAGGCCCACGGGGUCAUGAACUUCUUUUCUCGGAAAAGAAAAAAUGACGGUAUCUGAGGAAUAAGCCUCGACUAACUCUGUGCCAGCAGCCGCGGUAAGACAGAGGAUGCCAGCGUUAUCCGGAAUGAUUGGGCGUAAAGCGUCUGUAAGUGGCUUUUCAAGUCCGCCGUCAAAUCCCUGGGCUCAACCCUGGACAGGCGGUGGAAACUACCAAGCUGGAGUUUGUUGGAGGGGCAAGGCUGGAGUUUGGCAGAGGGA